AGUAAUGCAUAGAAAUUUGCCUCGAAGUGGGGGAUAGCCCGGAGAAAUCCGGAUUAAUACCGCAUGCGCUCUACGGAGCAAAGUGGGCCUCUGAUUUAAGCUCACGCUUUGAGAUAAGUCUAUGUCGGAUUAGCUAGUUGGUAGGGUAAGAGCCUACCAAGGCGACGAUCCGUAGCUGGUUUGAGAGGAUGAUCAGCCACACUGGGACUGAGACACGGCCCAG
rnacentral:rRNA from 1 species